AGUGAACGCUGGCGGUAGGCCUAACACAUGCAAGUCGAACGGCAGCACAGUAAGAGCUUGCUCUUACGGGUGGCGAGUGGCGGACGGGUGAGGAAUACAUCGGAAUCUACUUUUUCGUGGGGGAUAACGUAGGGAAACUUACGCUAAUACCUCAUACGACCUACGGGUUAAAGCAUGGGAUCUUCGGACCUUUCGCGAUUGAAUGAGCCGAUUUCGGAUUAGCUAGUUGGCUGGGUAAAGGCCCACCAAGGCGACGAUCCGUAGCUGGUCUGAGAGGAUGAUCAGCCACACUGGAACUGAGAAACGGUACAGAAUCCGACGGGAGGCAGCAGUGGGGAAUAUUGGACAAGGGGCGAAAGACUGAUCCAGCCAUACUGCGUGGGUGAAGAAGGCCUUCGGGUUGUAAAGCCCUUUUGUUGGGAAAGAAAAGCAGCAGGUUAAUACCCCGCUGUUCUGACGGUACCCAAAGAAUAAACACCGGCUAACUUCGU
rnacentral:rRNA from 1 species